UAGAAAUUCUCUCUCUCUUGCUCUCCCUCUGCCCCUCCUUCCAACUCUCUCUAAAAUAAAUAAAUAAAUCUUGUUUAAAAAUUAAAAAAAAAUAAAAGAUUUGAACACAUUUUUAUCAAUGAAUAAUUAGUCUUAAGCUAACCAAUUAAGUAUAUAUAACCAAAUAAUACCAAUUAACCAAUUAAGUAUAUAUAAGUAUAUAUAACCAAAGUAUAUAUAACCAAUUAAGUAUAUAUAACCAAAUAAUAAUUUUGUAAAAAAAAUUAAUAACUAGGCUAUGUAUGAACAUAGAACCAAAACCAACUUGGAACUCAACACACACACACACACAAAUCUGAUUAAAAACAGGCAGAUGACAUGAAUAGACAUUUUUCCAAAGAAGACAUCCAAUAGACACAUGAAAAGAUGCUCAAUAUCAGUAGUCAUCAGGGAAUUGUAAAUAAAACCAUAAUGAGGUAUCAUCUUACACCUGUCAGAAUGACUAGAAUAAAAAAGACAAGAAAUUACAAGUAUUGUCAAAAAUGUGGAGAAAAAGAAACCAGCUUGUGCUUUUGCUGGGAAUGUAAAUUGAUGCAGGCACUGUGGAAAACAGUAUGGAGGUUCCUCAAAAAAUUAAAAAUAGAAAUACCAUACCAUCCAGUAAUUCCACUACUGGGUAUUUUUUUACCCAAAGAAAACCAAAAACUAAUUUGAAAAUAUAUAUGUAUCCUUAUGUUUAUUGCAGCAUUAUAUGCCCUAGUCAAGAUAUAGAAGCAAGUGUCUAUCAAUAGAUGAAUGGAUAAAGAAGAUGCAAUAUACAUAUACGGUGGAAUAUUACUCAGCCGUAAAAAAGUAUGAGAUCUUGCCAUUUGUGACAACAUGGAUGGACCUCGAGGGUAUUAUGCUGAGUGAAAGCGCACAUCCGUCCUGGGGGCCAAUUCAUCUCAGGCCCGCCCUACAUCCCACUACUGAUAGCCGAAAUGUAGUCACAUGCUUCCAUUCCCCAAAGCAGUGAAGAAGAGGGGUGCAAACCUGAGGUUCUUGGCAAAUCCCCCAACGGAAAGUAGGUGGAGCCCAACACGGGGCUUUAACUCAGGACCCUGAGAUCAAGACCUGAGCUGAGAUCAAGAGUCGGUGCUUAACCAACUGAGCCACCCAGGUGCCCCUAAUUUUGUCUCUUAAUAUCCAUUUCCCCUUCUUCUGCAGGCACAGA